GUCAAUUCACAUGUCUCCGAAUAUGUUGGAUUAUGUAAAGCCAUUUUUCGAGUCCAUAUCGCGGUGAAAAUGUUGAGUACUUGAAACUUGAAGUUUUGAGUACCGGUAUUAAAGAGUACCUCAGCACUUGAAGCUUGAAUUUUUUUUUGUUUUGUGUACUGAUACGCAGUUUGAGUACCUGUCUUGACAUUACCGGUACUCAACUCCGCG
rnacentral:lncRNA from 1 species